AGAGAGAUCAGUGCUGACUGCCUGAGAAGAGGCCUUCCACAAGCUGCCUUUCUGGUGUCCCCAUGUUCUUCCUUCCUUCCUUCCAGAGGCCGUGAGAGGGAGGGCCCGUGUCAGCCUGCUCUGCCGGUUUCCCGACUGCUGAACCUGUCUGUGGGAAGCUGGGUUUGACUAUGUGAUGCUGAGGCUCUGAGAGGAGGGCUACCCUUUUCCCCACCCUCGGCCCCCAUUCCUAUGAGUAGAAGCCUGCCCAGCUGCGGUGGUGGGGUUUGAGGAGGCUAGGACUUAGAGCAGGGAAAAACAAGGAAGCAGAAUGAAAAACAGAAACACUUAGAAAUCUGGGAUUGGUACUUCUCCUUAUGUAAAGAUUGUGGCUGACGACCAGCUUCUUAGAGGAAGCAAGUCUAGGAGAAGGGCUCAUACCUGGUCCGUGAGGGCCUAUGGGGGAUCAGGGCAUAAGACCACCUGACCCUGGGCCUUGCAUCCACAAGAACCUUGAGUUUAGAUUUUUAGACAUAUUCUUCGAACAAGGUUUUACAUAUAUAGUCACUGAGAAAUCCUGAGAGGAUUGAAAAAUAGCAUCUAUUUUACAGCUUUAAAUUGUGCCCUGAGCUGAGCGUGGUGGCUCAUGCCUGUAAUCCCAGCACUUUGGGAGGCUGAGGUGGGAGGAUUGCUUGAGUUCAGUUCAGGACCAGCCUGGGCAACAGCAAGACCUCAUCUCUACUAAAAAUAAAAAAAUUAGCUGGGCAUGGUGGUGUGCACCUGUAGUCCCAAUUACUCAGGAGGCUGAGGUGGGAGGAUCGCUUGAGCCUGGGAGGUUGAGGCUGCAGUGAGCUGUGAUUGUGCCACUGCACUCCAGCUUGGGUGACAGAGUGAGACCCUGUCUCAAAAAAAAUUCUGCCCUGUUAUUAGAUCGGGCUGCUCUAAGUCCAUUAUCAAUUAACAUUCUUUAUAUGUCCUGUGUUUAUCUUGUGCACGGUAUAAUUG
rnacentral:lncRNA from 10 species